GGGGGGGGGGGGGGGGGGGGGGGGGGGGGGGGGGGGGGGGGAGCGGGGGGGGGGGGGGCGCCUCUGGGGGUGGCGGCGGGCGGGUGAGUAACGCGUGGGUAGCCUACCUAUAAGACUGGGAUAACUUCGGGAACCCGGAGCUAAUGCCGGGUGAUAUAUUGAACGGCAUGGUUCAAUAGUGAAAGACGGUUUUGCGGUCACUUCUAGCUGGAUCCGCGCCGCAUUAGCUAGUUGGUAAGGUAACGGCUUACCAAGGCAACGAUGCGUAGCCGACCUGAGAGGGUGAUCGGCCACACUGGAACUGAGACACGGUCCAGACUCCUACGGGAGGCAGCAGCAGGGAAUCUUCCGCAAUGGGCGAAAGCCUGACGGAGCAACGCCGCGUGAGUGAUGAAGGUCUUCGGAUCGUAAAACUCUGUUAUUAGGGAAGAACAAAUGUGUAAGUAACUAUGCACGUCUUGACGGUACCUAAUCAGAAAGCCACGGCUAACUACGUG
rnacentral:rRNA from 1 species